CGAGUGGUUCUAUUUUGUUGGUUUCUAGAGUCGCCGUAAUGAUUAAUAGGGAUAGUUGGGGGCAUUGGUAUUGAGUCGCUAGAGGUGAAAUUCUUGGAUUGACUCAAGACCAACUAUUGCGAAAGCAUUUGCCAAGGAUGUUUUCAUUAAUCAAGAACGAAGGUUAGGGGAUCGAAAACGAUCAGAUACCGUUGUAGUCUUAACAGUAAACUAUGCCGACUAGGGAUCGGGCAACCUCAAUUAUGAUGUGUUGCUCGGCACCUUACGARAAAUCAAAGUCUUUGGGUUCUGGGGGGAGUAUGGCCCCAAGGCUGAAACUUAAAGGAAUUGACGGAAGGGCACCACCAGGAGUGGAGCCUGCGGCUUAAUUUGACUCAACACGGGGAAACUCACCAGGUCCAGACAUAACUAGGAUUGACAGAUUGAUAGCUCCUUCAUGAUUUUGUGGGUGGUGGUGCAUGGCCGUUCUUAGUUGGUGGAGUGAUUUGUCUGGGUAAUUCCGAUAACGAACGAGACCUUAACCUGCUAAAAAGCCCGGCCGGCUUUUGCUGGUCGCCGGCUUCUUAGAGGGACUGUCAGCGUCUAGCUGAACGAAGUUUGAGGCAAUAAAAGGUCUGUGAUGCCCUUAGAUGUUCUGGGCCCCACACGCGCUACCCUGACAGGGCCAACGAGCAUUUCCCCUUGGGCGGAAGGUCUGGAUAAUCUUGUGAUUAACCCUGGCCUGC
rnacentral:rRNA from 1 species